AUUGAACGCUGGCGGCACGCCUAACACAUGCAAGUCGAGCGGUAGCAGGUCUAGUAGCAAUACUAGAUGCUGACGAGCGGCGGACGGGUGAGGAAGACGUAGGAACUUGACCUUUAGAGGGGGAUAACCAAGGGAAACUUUGGCUAAUACCGCGUAGACUCUGAGGAGGAAAGUUGCCUUAGAGAGAUCUGAGGUGACGCUAGAGGAGAGGCCUGCGACCGAUUAGCUAGUUGGUGAGGUAAGAGCUUACCAAGGCGAUGAUCGGUAACUGGUCUGAGAGGACGACCAGUCACACUGGGACUGAGACACGGCCCAGACUCCUACGGGAGGCAGCAGUGGGGAAUCUUGGACAAUGGGGGCAACCCUGAUCCAGCGAUGCCGCGUGGGUGAAGAAGGCCUUCGGGUUGUAAAGCCCUUUAGGUUGGGAAGAAGGAUACGUGGGGAUAAUCCAUGUAUUUUGACGGUACCGACAGAAUAAGCACCGGCAAACUCUGUGCCAGCAGCCGCGGUAAAAC
rnacentral:rRNA from 1 species